rnacentral:lncRNA from 1 species
UGGAGGGGAAGCAUAGCUGUAUGCCGGUGGUGGAGGAGACUUGGUUGGUGGUGGGGGACUCACGUAGUAAUAAGGAGGUGGGGGAGACGGUGAUGGUGGUGGAGGAGAUUUGUAGUAGUAGGGAGUAGGAGGAUCGGGAGAUGGUGGAGGAGGGCUCUUGUAGUAGUAAGGAGGUGGUGGAGAAGGUGAUGGAGGAGGAGGUGACUUGUAGUAGUAGGGUGGUGGUGGUGAUGGAGAUGGUGGUGGUGGUGACUUGUAAUAGUAAGGAGGUGGCGGUGAAGGAUCCGGUGGUGGAGGUGAUUUGUAGUAGUAGGGAGGUGGUGGUGAUGGGGAUGGUGGUGGAGGUGAUUUGUAGUAGUAUGGUGGUGGUGGUGAGGGGGAUGGUGGAGGAGGUGACUUGUAGUAGUAGGGAGGUGGUGGUGAUGGAUCUGGUGGAGGAGGUGACUUGUAGUAGUAGGGAGGUGGUGGUGAUGGAGAUGGUGGUGGAGGAGACUUGUAGUAGUAGGGUGGUGGUGGUGAGGGGGAUGGAGGAGGAGGAGACUUGUAGUAGUAGGGAGGUGGUGGUGAAGGAUCUGGUGGUGGAGGAGACUUGUAGUAGUAGGGUGGUGGUGGUGAGGGGGAUGGUGGAGGAGGAGACUUGUAGUAGUAGGGAGGAGGUGGUGAUGGAUCUGGUGGAGGAGGUGAUUUGUAGUAAUAGGGUGGUGGUGGUGAAGGGGAAGGUGGUGGUGGGGACUUGUAGUAGUAGGGAGGUGGUGGUGAGGGAGAUGGUGGUGGAGGUGAUUUGUAGUAGUAUGGUGGUGGUGGAGAAGGUGAUGGAGGAGGAGGUGACUUGUAGUAGUAGGGAGGUGGUGGUGAUGGAUCUGGUGGUGGAGGUGAUUUGUAGUAGUAAGGUGGUGGUGGUGAUGGAGAUGGUGGUGGAGGAGACUUGUAGUAGUAGGGUGGUGGAGGUGAUGGGGAGGGUGGAGGAGGUGAUUUGUAGUAGUAAGGAGGAUAAUAAGGAUCCUUGUGUGGAGGAGGUGGAGAUUUAUAGUAGUAUGGAGAAGGAGAUGGUGAUGGUGGAGGGGGGCUCUUGUAGUAGUAAGGAGGGGACUUAUAGUAGUAUGGUGGUGGGGGAGAGUUGUAGUAGUAUGGUUUGUGAUAAGGAGUGGGUGAAUGCUUGUGCUUUUCACAAUCAUAAGGCUUUUUAGGAGCAUAAGCAAAAGGCUUAGCCUUCAGAACAACCUCGUACUUAUCCUUGGACUUCAGUGCCAACUUGGUUCCCUCGUUAAGCUUGGUGGGUAUGCUGCAACGUGAGCCCUUAGGAGGAGCAUGGAGUUGAGCCUUGCAGACUGUGCCUCCAUAUUUAACAUAGUCCAAUCCUUCGACAGUGAUGCUGUAUUUCCCAUUGCUCUUAGUGUUACCGUAAGACUUUAUGGUCUUGCCUCCAACUUCACAAGUCACUUCGACAGUGGCACCUAAGGUACAAAAUGCGUGAAUUUCACAUGUUAAAAGACAAAUCAAUCGAACACAUAACACUAGGUAACAUUUUUUUUGUUAAUUUUAAGGAACUUUUUUGUUUUGUGAACACAAAACGAGACAAUGUUCUGCAGACACAUGAUGACGCACAACGAUAUCGAUGGAGUUGUAGGAAUAGAAAAAUUAGGUUGACCAAGAAAAUGUUAAGAAAACAAAAAUGCAGUUAAAUAUUAUCAAACAAUGACACGUUUGAACGGAAAAUAAUGAUAAAUAUUGUUGCUGUCGAAGCAUCAGCAUCAGAAGGAAAUAAUAAUAAUAAUGAAAUAUAAAAGUAAAGUUUGCACCUUCGAGGUGUUUCUUGUUGUGAGAUUUCUGGGGGUAUUUCCAGUCGUAGCAUCUGUAACAGUAGACUUUACCGACAACCUUAACGAUCAAUGAGUGGUGAUAGUGGUGAGGGUGAGGAUAAGCGACCGGAGGAGGUGGAGAUUUGUAGUAGUAUGGUGGAGACUUGUAGUAGUAUGGUGGAGGAGGUGAGGGAGAAGGAGGAGGAGGAGAUUUGUAGUAGUAGGGUGGUGGUGGGGACUUGUAGUAGUAAGGAUCAUGGGGUGGUGACUUUUCAGGUGGGGGAGGAGACUUGUAGUAGUAUGGGGGUGGUGGUGAUGGUGAAGGUGGUGGUGGGGACUUGUAGUAGUAAGGAUCAUAGGGAGGUGACUUUUUAGGCGGGGGAGGAGACUUGUAGUAGUAAGGUGGUGGAGGUGAGGGAGAGGGUGGUGGGGGAGAUUUAUAGUAGUAGGGUGGUGGUGGUGAUGGAGAUGGUGGUGGUGGUGACUUGUAAUAGUAAGGAGGUGGAGGUGAAGGAUCAGGUGGUGGAGGAGACUUGUAGUAGUAAGGUGGUGGUGGUGAUGGGGAUGGUGGUGGAGGUGACUUGUAAUAGUAUGGUGGUGGUGGUGAGGGGGAUGGUGGAGGAGGUGACUUGUAGUAGUAGGGAGGUGGUGGUGAUGGAUCAGGUGGAGGAGGUGACUUGUAGUAGUAGGGUGGUGGUGGUGAUGGGGAUGGUGGUGGAGGAGACUUGUAGUAGUAGGGAGGUGGUGGUGAUGGAUCAGGUGGAGGAGGUGACUUGUAGUAGUAGGGUGGUGGUGGUGAUGGAGAUGGUGGUGGAGGAGACUUGUAGUAGUAUGGUGGUGGUGGUGAUGGAGAAGGUGGAGGAGGAGACUUGUAGUAGUAAGGAGGUGGUGGUGAUGGUGAUGGUGGAGGAGGAGACUUGUAGUAGUAGGGAGGAGGUGGUGAUGGAUCAGGUGGAGGUGGUGAUUUGUAGUAAUAGGGUGGUGGUGGUGAUGGGGAAGGUGGUGGAGGAGAUUUGUAGUAGUAUGGUGGUGGUGGUGAGGGAGAGGGUGGUGGAGGUGAUGAGUAAGAGUAAGCAUCAGCAGCCACAGAUGCUACAUUGAGGGAAACAAGAACAAUGGCCAAUGCAAGGGCCAUUUGAGGCCUAAAACGACCCUUACUAGGGCCGUAGCUAAGGGCAGUCAUGAGUAGAAGGGGUACCCUCCAACCAAUGCUAAGGGUGAGAUAUGAUCCUUG